rnacentral:rRNA from 1 species
AGCAGCCGCGGUAAUUCCAGCUCCAAUAGCGUAUAUUAAAGUUGUUGCAGUUAAAAAGCUCGUAGUUGAAUUUCGGGAUCAGUACGCUGGUCGUGCCUUUGGUAUGCACUGGUGUCACUGAUUCCUUCCUUCUGAAGAACCGUUAUGCCAUUUAUUUGGUGUGGCGGGGAAUCAGGACUGUUACUUUGAAAAAUUGAGUGUUUAAAGCAGGCUCGCGCUUGGAUACAUUAGCAUGGAAUAAUGAAAUAGGACGUUUGAUUCUAUUUUGUUGGUUUCUAGGAUCGACGUAAUGAUUAAUAGGGAUAGUUGGGGGCAUUAGUAUUCAAUUGUCAGAGGUGAAAUUCUUGGAUUUAUUGAAGACUAACUACUGCGAAAGCAUUUGCCAAGGAUGUUUUCAUUAAUCAAGAACGAAAGUUAGGGGAUCGAAGGCGAUCA